rnacentral:sRNA from 2 species
CCGCCCGUCACACCAUGGGAGCUGGUAAUACCCAAAGUCGGUUUGCUAACCUCGGAGGCAACUGCCUAAGGUAGGACUGGUGACUGGGGUGAAGUCGUAACAAGGUAUCCCUACGAGAACGUGGGGAUGGAUCACCUCCUUUCUACGGAGUACAAUUGAAGUUAUCCAUACUUCUAGACUAAAGUUAAUGGAACAUAUUCGUAUCUAGUUUUGAGAGAAUUAUUCUCCCUUUUUGUUCUUUGAAAACUGAAUUAGACAUUGAAAAAUUAUCAAAUUAAUAUUUCAAAGUUUAGAUCAACCUAUAGAAUAUUCAAAAAUAGACAAAACAAUAGGUCAUACAUAUUAACUAUUAAAUGUACAAGAGUUUUUGGUGGAUGCCUUGGGUCUGGAAGUCGAUGAAGGACGUGAUUACCUGCGAUAAGCCUCGUUUAGUUGGAUAUAAGCAAUGAGACGGGGAUUUCCGAAUGGGGAAACCUAAUUGAGCUAAUCCUCAAUUGUCAUAUCAGUGAAUCCAUAGCUGAAUGACAAGACACGCUGUGAAUUGAAACAUCUCAGUAGCAGCAGGAAAAGAAAAUAAAGAAUGAUUCCCUUAGUAGUGGCGAGCGAACGGGGAAAAGCCCAAACCAACAUUUGUUGUUGGGGUUGUAGGACUACUUACACGAAGUUGAACAAAUAUUUACAUAUAGCAGAAAGAGUUGGAAUGCUCUGCCAUAGGAGGUGAAAGCCCCGUAAGCGAAAUGUGUAAAUCUUCUAGUAGUAUCCUGAGUAGGGCGGGGCACGUGGAACCCUGUCUGAAUCUGCCGGGACCACCCGGUAAGGCUAAAUACUAACCAGACACCGAUAGCGAACUA